rnacentral:rRNA from 1 species
UACUCUCGGGGGUAGAGCACUGGAUGGGCUAGGGGGGCGCGAGCCUUACCAAACCUAACCAAACUCCGAAUACCGAUGAGUUAAGCGCGGCAGACAGACUAUGGGUGCUAAGGUCCGUAGUCGAGAGGGAAACAGCCCAGACCUCCAGCUAAGGUCCCCAAGUGGUGGCUAAGUGGGAAAGGAUGUGGGAAGGCCAUGACAACCAGGAGGUUGGCUUAGAAGCAGCCAUCCUUUAAAGAAAGCGUAAUAGCUCACUGGUCUAAACAAGCCGGCCUGCGCCGAAGAUGUACCGGGGCUCAAGCCACCCACCGAAGCUGAGGAUGCAUGUCUUUGACAUGCGUGGUAGCGGAGCGUUCCGUAGGCCUGUGAAGGGGUCCUGUAAGGGGUCCUGGAGGUAUCGGAAGUGAGAAUGCUGACAUGAGU